GAUACCGCCCUAGUUCUAACCAUAAACGAUGCCAACCAGCGAUCCGCCUGGGUUCCUCAAAUGACUCGGCGGGCAGCUUCCGGGAAACCAAAGUGUUUGGGUUCCGGGGGGAGUAUGGUUGCAAAGCUGAAACUUAAAGGAAUUGACGGAAGGGCACCACCAGGAGUGGAGCCUGCGGCUUAAUUUGACUCAACACGGGAAAACUUACCCGGCCCGGACACUGGAAGGAUUGACAGAUUAAGAGCUCUUUCUUGAUUCAGUGGGUGGUGGUGCAUGGCCGUUCUUAGUUGGUGGAGCGAUUUGUCUGGUUAAUUCCGAUAACGAACGAGACUCUAGCCUACUAAAUAGGCGUUCCGAUCUCUUGCGUCGGACGCUCUUCUUAGAGGGACAAGCGGCGUUUAGCCGCACGAGACAGAGCAAUAACAGGUCUGUGAUGCCCUUAGAUGUCCGGGGCCGCACGCGCGCUACACUGAAGGAAUCAGCGUGUGCUCUCCCUGUCCGCUAGGACUGGGUAACCCGUUGAACCUCCUUCGUGAUAGGGAUAGGGGCUUGUAAUUGUUCCCCUUGAACGAGGAAUUCCCAGUAAGCGCGAGUCAUAAGCUCGUGUUGAUUAUGUCCCUGCCCUUUGUACACACCGCCCGUCGCUACCUCCGAU
rnacentral:rRNA from 1 species